AACGAACGCUGGCGGCAUGCCUAACACAUGCAAGUCGAACGAGACCUUCGGGUCUAGUGGCGCACGGGUGCGUAACGCGUGGGAACCUGCCCUUUAGUUCGGAAUAACUCCCCGAAAGGGGUGCUAAUACCGGAUCUUGUCUUCGGACCAAAGUUCUAUCGCCUUUGGAUGGGUCCGCAUUGGAUUAGCUAGUUGGUAGGGUAAAAGCAUACCAAGGCGAUGAUCCAUAGCUGGGCUGAGAGGAUGUUCAGGCACACUGGGAAUGAGACACAGCCCAGACUCCGACGCGACGCAGCGGUGGGGAGUAUUGGACAAUGGGGGAAAGCGUGAUCCCGCAAUGCCGGGUGAGAGAUGAAUGCGUUAGGAUUGCAAAGCCCUUUUACCCGGGACGAUAAUGACAGUACCGGGAGAAUAAGCUCCGGCUAACUCCGUG
rnacentral:rRNA from 1 species